rnacentral:rRNA from 1 species
UUUAAAGAGAGUUUGAUCCUGGCUCAGGACGAACGCUGGCGGCGUGCCUAAUACAUGCAAGUCGAACGAACGGAGGAAGAGCUUGCUCUUCCAAAGUUAGUGGCGGACGGGUGAGUAACACGUGGGCAACCUGCCUGUAAGUUGGGGAUAACUCCGGGAAACCGGGGCUAAUACCGAAUGAUAAAGUGUGGCGCAUGCCACGCUUUUGAAAGAUGGUUUCGGCUAUCGCUUACAGAUGGGCCCGCGGUGCAUUAGCUAGUUGGUAGGGUAAUGGCCUACCAAGGCAACGAUGCAUAGCCGACCUGAGAGGGUGAUCGGCCACACUGGGACUGAGACACGGCCCAGACUCCUACGGGAGGCAGCAGUAGGGAAUCUUCCGCAAUGGACGAAAGUCUGACGGAGCAACGCCGCGUGUAUGAAGAAGGUUUUCGGAUCGUAAAGUACUGUUGUUAGAGAAGAACAAGGAUAAGAGUAACUGCUUGUCCCUUGACGGUAUCUAACCAGAAAGCCACGGCUAACUACGUGCCAGCAGCCGCGGUAAUACGUAGGUGGCAAGCGUUGUCCGGAUUUAUUGGGCGUAAAGCGCGCGCAGGCGGUCUUUUAAGUCUGAUGUGAAAGCCCCCGGCUUAACCGGGGAGGGUCAUUGGAAACUGGAAGACUGGAGUGCAGAAGAGGAGAGUGGAAUUCCACGUGUAGCGGUGAAAUGCGUAGAUAUGUGGAGGAACACCAGUGGCGAAGGCGACUCUCUGGUCUGUAACUGACGCUGAGGCGCGAAAGCGUGGGGAGCAAACAGGAUUAGAU